rnacentral:rRNA from 1 species
AUUGAACGCUGGCGGCAGGCUUAACACAUGCAAGUCGAGCGGGGGAAGGUAGCUUGCUACUGGACCUAGCGGCGGACGGGUGAGUAAUGCUUAGGAAUCUGCCUAUUAGUGGGGGACAACAUUCCGAAAGGAAUGCUAAUACCGCAUACGUCCUACGGGAGAAAGCAGGGGAUCUUCGGACCUUGCGCUAAUAGAUGAGCCUAAGUCGGAUUAGCUAGUUGGUGGGGUAAAGGCCUACCAAGGCGACGAUCUGUAGCGGGUCUGAGAGGAUGAUCCGCCACACUGGGACUGAGACACGGCCCAGACUCCUACGGGAGGCAGCAGUGGGGAAUAUUGGACAAUGGGGGGAACCCUGAUCCAGCCAUGCCGCGUGUGUGAAGAAGGCCUUAUGGUUGUAAAGCACUUUAAGCGAGGAGGAGGCUACUGAGACUAAUACUCUUGGAUAGUGGACGUUACUCGCAGAAUAAGCACCGGCUAACUCUGUGCCAGCAGCCGCGGUAA